UACGUAGGGGCCGAGCGUUGUCCGGAGUUAUUGGGCGUAAAGCGCGCGCAGGCGGCCUCGCGCGCCCGACGUGAAAGCCCCCGGCUUAACCGGGGAGGGGCGUUGGGGACGGCGGGGCUUGAGGGCGGGAGAGGUCGGUGGAAUUCCCGGUGUAGUGGUGAAAUGCGUAGAGAUCGGGAGGAACACCUGUGGCGAAGGCGGCCGACUGGGCCGACCCUGACGCUGAGGCGCGAAGGCGUGGGGAGCGAACGGG
rnacentral:rRNA from 1 species